rnacentral:tRNA from 1 species
GGAUCGGUAGUGUAAUGGCUAUCAUUCCUGUUUCACAAGCAGGAAAUCGUAGGUUCAAUCCCAGACCCGCCCCU